AUCCACAUAUAUAAGUAUAGGUUGAGUUGUUGUCUUCCAGGGUGGCUUUGUAGUUACAGAAGCUGACCAUGGCGAUGCGGGUUAGAAUGUUUGGUUUUGUGAUGAUGUGCGGCAUCGUCCUGUGCCAAUUCGUUGUUGCCGGUGAUGAUUAUAUUAAUGGAGGCCAUUAUUAUCAGCAAAUAAUAGGAAGAAGUUUCGAGUCGAGGAACUGUGAUUAUUUUGAAGGGAGUUGGGAAUAUGAUGAUUCAUACCCACUUUACGAUUCAACCAGCUGCCCUUUCAUUGGACAAGGAUUCGAUUGCCAGAAAAAUGGCAGACCUGAUCAAGAUUACCUCAAGUAUCGUUGGCAGCCUGCUGCUUGUGACAUUCCCAGGUUCAACGGAGUGAGUAUGUUGGAGAAAUAUAGAGGAAAAAAGAUAAUGUUUGUUGGGGAUUCUCUAAGCAACAAUAUGUGGGUGUCUUUGACAUGCUUGCUUCAUGCUUCAGUCCCCUAUUCUACUUAUACCAUUCAACAAGAAGGCCUGCUCUCUACAUUUUUCAUGCCGGAAUAUGGGAUAGCGGUGAUGUGGUUGAAAGAAGGGUUCCUAGUAGAUGUGAUUCAUGAUGAACAAUUUGGCGAAGUUCUAAAGCUGGAUUCCAUCAACACUGGACAGCAAUGGCUAGGAAUGGACGUCUUAAUCUUCAACACCUAUCAUUGGUGGUUCCACACCGGACGCUAUCGAACGUGUGAAUUUUACUUUUCUACUUUUUAAUUAAUUAAUUAAAGCUUAAAAUUUUAUACUUUCAUCGAUUAAACUUCAAGGGUUUGAUCGAGAUUCAUCUGAUUUGUAAGUGAGGUAGAUGGAUUCAGUCUGAUUCUGAAAAUCACAUAUCAAAAGUAAAAUUAAAUGAAUAUGAAUGGGUUUGAGUUGCAGUUGGGACUACUUUCAAGUAGGAGACAAGAUGGUUAAAGAGAUGGAUCGUUUGGAAGCUUUGAAGAUUGCAUUAACUACUUGGGCUAAUUGGAUUGACAAUAACAUUGAUCCUUCCAAGACUUCAGUAUUCUACCAAGGAGUUGCUGUUGCCCAUCUCGAUGCCAAGGAAUGGGAUGAUCCAAACCCCAAGGCAAAGGAAUGUCAGGGACAAACUGAACCAGUUGAGGGAUCAACGUAUCCAGGCCCUAUGAAUCAAGGAGACGCUGUUGUAAAGGAAAUAAUAAGCAACAUGACAAGGCCUGCCUAUUUGCUUGACAUUACAUUGCUUACACAGCUAAGGAAGGAUGGUCAUCCAUCUAUAUAUGCUGGAAGUGGCACCAAGCUCAGUGAUUGUAGUCACUGGUGUCUUGCUGGUGUUCCUGAUACCUGGAACCAGCUUCUAUAUGCUGCAUUGUUUGACAAUUGAAAUGUAAUUUUAUUUAUUUGUUUGUUUAUUUUAUGGUACAUCAUGAAUCUGUCAACUUAAAGUGAGACUGAUUAUUAUAACCUUACUCUCUUCCCCAUUUCCUAACACAACCAAUGAAGUAAAAUGCACAAUAUCA
rnacentral:misc_RNA from 1 species